rnacentral:misc_RNA from 1 species
GAUGAAGAACGCAGCGAAAUGCGAUAAGUAAUGCGAAUUGCAGAAUCCGUGAGUCAUCGAAUCUUUGAACGCACAUUGCGCCCCUUGGUAUUCCAUGGGGCAUGCCUGUUCGAGCGUCAUUUGUACCUUCAAGCUUUGCUUGGUGUUGGGUGUUUGUCUCGCCUUUGCGUGUAGACUCGCCUUAAAAUAAUUGGCAGCCGGCGUAUUGAUUUCGGAGCGCAGUACAUCUCGCGCUUUGCACUCAUAACGACAGCGUCCAAAAGUACAUUUUACACUCUUGACCUCGGAUCAGGUAGGGAUACCCGCUGAACUUAAGCAUAUCAAUAAGCGGAGGA